UUCAGUGCCUAGGUACCCUAAGCUAUUGUUAGGCUGUGGCUACUAGCUCGCCCGCUCGCCCCCGCUCCCUCAGGACCCGCGCCGAGUCGAAGCUUCUCCAGCCUGCUCCACCGAUUCCCCAAGCUCCGCCCCCGAGGCAGCCGGCCCGGAGCUGGAGCAAAGGCACCAACCCGGUCCCGGAGCGCAGGCUGGGGGGAGGGGCGGAGCGGGGGGAGGGGCGGGGGCGGGGGCGGGGGAGGGAAGCGGAGCGCGCGCGCGCUCCAGGAGCCAGAGAAAGCUAGAGGGGCCUCUUUUCCACAGAGAAACUUUGCGAGCGAGAAGCACGACGUGCGGGGCGCCAGCCCGGGAGGGCAAAGGCAGAUGCCGUCAGACUCUUGGACGCCCCGUCGGCUGCUGGGGUCCUCCCUGACCUGCAGUUCCAGCUGCGAGAGAACCAAAGUUCUACAGGAAAGGGAGACCCAAGAUUUGACUCUCCCCUGCAACACCUCCAAACUCAGCAGGAACAGAGAAUGAGUCUAAAGGCUCUUGGCAUCUUGGGGCGCCUGGGUGGCUCAGUCGGUUAAGCAUCUGCCUUCGGCUCAGGUCAGGAUCCCAGGGUCCUGGGAUCAAGCCCUGAAUCGGGCUCCCUGCUGCUCAGUGGGGAGCCUGCUUCUCCCUCUCCCUCUGCCCCUCCCCCUGCUCAUGCUCUUUCCCUCUCUCUCUGAAAUAAAUAAAUCUUUGGAAAAAAAAAGUUCUUGGCAUCUUUAUUAGCAUUCAGAACACCUCUGAAACAUAUAAGGCUCCAGAAUAGGUUUAAGCUUUCAAAGCCACUGCAGUCAGAGCUGACUUAUAAGAGGUAGCUGGUAUGCAUGAAGGAAGAGGAGAGGAAGGAGCAAGAUGUGCAGCAAGUGGCUGAUAGUCGUCAUAGAACACUAGUUGGUGGGAAGUGAAAGGCAAGGCCCAGAGAAUCAUUAGCUCGGAUGGAAGAAUGCCUUCCUUCUGUAGAACGCUCAAUUUGAACCGUUAGAAUCUUUAAAAGAUAUCUAACGCAAAAUCAGUUAUGCAGCCUCUGGGCCUUCUCUUUUCACCGUAAAGCAACCUGAGGAUGAAGAAUUUUUUCCUAUCCUGUUCUGAGCCGCUCCCUCGUCAGUAUCAUCCAUAGGGCCUGGAGUCAAAACACGAGUUCCCUGCAACCCUUAUCCCUAGUAGUUAUGUUUUUAAAAAUCUGAUUUAAAUGAUCAUCUAAAUUAGCACUGGAGGGAAAGAAGGGCUAUUGCAAAAUGCAGCAUGGAAUUUGGGGAUGAUGGGUGUUGCCAGGCAGAUGGCAAGCUGUACAUACAUUGCCUAGUACAGGGGAGGGACAGGAGACCGAAUUGUGACGGAUAUUAUUUCUUUUUUAUUUUAAGUCUUGUUAUUUUCAAAAUAAUGGCUAUAUUGAGAUCUAAUUCAUAUACCAUACAAUUCACCCACUUAAAGGGUACAGUUCAGUGUUUUUAGUACAAAGUUGUGCAGCCAUUACCAUUACCUAAUUCUAGAACAUCUUCA
rnacentral:lncRNA from 1 species